ACUCCUACGGGAGGCAGCAGUAGGGAAUCUUCCACAAUGGGCGCAAGCCUGAUGGAGCAACACCGCGUGAGUGAAGAAGGGUUUCGGCUCGUAAAGCUCUGUUGUUAAAGAAGAACACGUAUGAGAGUAACUGUUCAUACGUUGACGGUAUUUAACCAGAAAGUCACGGCUAACUACGUGCCAGCAGCCGCGGUAAUACGUAGGUGGCAAGCGUUAUCCGGAUUUACUGGGCGUAAAGAGAGUGCAGGCGGUUUUCUAAGUCUGAUGUGAAAGCCUUCGGCUUAACCGGAGAAGUGCAUCGGAAACUGGAUAACUUGAGUGCAGAAGAGGGUAGUGGAACUCCAUGUGUAGCGGUGGAAUGCGUAGAUAUAUGGAAGAACACCAGUGGCGAAGGCGGCUACCUGGUCUGCAACUGACGCUGAGACUCGAAAGCAUGGGUAGCGAACAGGAUUAGAUACCCUGGUAGGAUAGCG
rnacentral:rRNA from 1 species